UACGUAGGGUGCAAGCGUUAAUCGGAAUUACUGGGCGUAAAGCGUGCGCAGGCGGUUGUGCAAGACCGAUGUGAAAUCCCCGGGCUUAACCUGGGAAUGGCAUUGGUGACUGCACGGCUAGAGUACGGUAGAGGGGGAUGGAAUUCCGCGUGUAGCAGUGAAAUGCGUAGAUAUGCGGAGGAACACCGAUGGCGAAGGCAAUCCCCUGGACCUGUACUGACGCUCAUGCACGAAAGCGUGGGGAGCAAACAGG
rnacentral:rRNA from 1 species